rnacentral:rRNA from 1 species
GACGAACGCUGGCGGCGUGCUUAACACAUGCAAGUCGAGCGAUGAAGCACCUUCGGGUGUGAAUUAGCGGCGAACGGGUGAGGAACACGUGUAGAAUCUGCCUUCAACUCUGGGAUAACUCCGGGAAACCGGGGCUAAUACCGGAUAUGAGCCUUGAUCGCAUGAUCGGGGCUGGAAAGUUUUUCGGUUGAAGAUGACUUUGCGGCCUAUCAGCUUGUUGGUGAGGUAAUGGCUCACCAAGGCGACGACGGGUAGCCGGCCUGAGAGGGCGACCGGCCACACUGGGACUGAGACACGGCCCAGACUCCUACGGGAAGCAGCAGUGGGGAAUAUUGGGCAAUGGAGGAAACUCUGACCCAGCGACGCCGCGUGAGGGAUGAAGGCCUUCGGGUUGUAAACCUCUUUCAGUAGGGAAGAAGCGAAAGUGACGGUACCUACAGAAGAAGCACCGGCUAACUAUGUGCCAGCAGCCGCAGUAA